UCGAACGAGAGGAGAAGGAAGCUUGCUUCUUUCAAAUCUAGUGGCAAACGGGUGAGUAACACGUAAACAACCUGCCUUCAGGAUGGGGACAACAGACGGAAACGACUGCUAAUACCGCAUAAGCCCACGGCCCGGCAUCGGGCUGCGGGAAAAGGAUUUAUUCGCUUCAGGAUGGACUCGCGUCCAAUUAGCUAGUUGGUGAGGUAACGGCCCACCAAGGCGACGAUCGGUAGCCGGACUGAGAGGUUGAACGGCCACAUUGGGACUGAGACACGGCCCAGACUCC
rnacentral:rRNA from 1 species